rnacentral:rRNA from 1 species
GACGAACGCUGGCGGCGUGCCUAAUACAUGCAAGUAGAACGCUGAAGAGAGGAGCUUACUCUUCUUGGAUGAGUUGCGAGCGGGUGAGUAACGCGUAGGUAACCUGCCUUGUAGCGGGGGAUAACUAUUGGAAACGAUAGCUAAUACCGCAUAACAAUGGAUGACACAUGUCAUUUAUUUGAAAGGGGCAAUUGCUCCACUACAAGAUGGACCUGCGUUGUAUUAGCUAGUAGGUGAGGUAAUGGCUCACCUAGGCGACGAUACAUAGCCGACCUGAGAGGGUGAUCGGCCACACUGGGACUGAGACACGGCCCAGACUCCUACGGGAGGCAGCAGUAGGGAAUCUUCGGCAAUGGGGGCAACCCUGACCGAGCAACGCCGCGUGAGUGAAGAAGGUUUUCGGAUCGUAAAGCUCUGUUGUAAGUCAAGAACGGGUGUGAGAGUGGAAAGUUCACACUGUGACGGUAGCUUACCAGAAAGGGACGGCUAACUACGUG